rnacentral:rRNA from 1 species
GUGUCUCGAUCCUGCCAGUAGCAUAUGCUUGUCUCAAAGAUUAAACCAUUCACAUGUAAGUACACAUGGCCGGGACAGUGGAACUGAGAAUGGCUCAUUAAAUCAGUUAUGGUUCUUUUGAUUGCUCCAUCUAUUACUUGGAUAACUUUGGUAAUUGUAGAGCUAAUACAUGCCGACGAGCGCUGACCUCCCGUGAUGUGUGCAUUUAUCAGACCAAGACCAAUCAGGGCCUACCCGGCCACUUUGGUGACUCUACAUAUCCUCAGCCCAAUCGCACGUCCACAUGACAGCGUUGAUAUAUUUGGAUGUCUGCCCUUUCAACUUUUGAUGGUACUUUGUGUGCCUACCAUUAUGAACACAGGUAAUGGGUAAUCAGGGUUCAAUUGCGGUUAGGGAGCCUGAGAAACUGCUACCACAUCCAAGGAAGGCAGCAGGCGUGCACAUUACCCACUCCAACUUGGGGCGGUAACGGAAUAGAGUACACUUUAAAUCCUUUAACGAGGAUCCAUUGGAGGGCAAGUCUGGUGCCAGCAGCCAGGAUAAUUCCAGCUCCAAUAGUGUAUAUUAAAGUUGCUGACGUUAAAAAGCUUGUAGUUGGAUUUUGGAUUGAGUGUGAGCUGGCUUUGCGUCACAAAGUGAGCUACCGCCUGUCCCAGCCACUGCCUCUCGACACCCUGUUGAUGGUCUUGACUGAGUGUCCUGGGGGAACAAAGCAUUAAAGCAAGCCGGUCACCUGAAUACUUCAGCUAGGAAUAAUGAAAUAGGACUCUGGUUAUAUUUGGUUGUUUUCGGAACUGGGGCCAUGAUUUAGAGGGAGGGCUGGGGGCAUGCAUAUUGUAUCGCUACAGGUAAAAUUCUUGGACCGGCGCAAGAGGAACCAAAGCAAAAUCAUUUGCCAAAAAUGUUUUCCGAUCAGAUACUUUUGUAGUUCCAACCAUAAACAAUGCUGACUAGUAAUCCUGCAGCGGUAUUCCAAUGACCCUCGAGCAGCUUUCUGGGAAACCAAAGUCUUUGGGUUCCGGGGAGAGUAUGGUUGCCAAACUCAAACUUAAAGGAAUUGAUGGAAGGGUACCACUAGGAGUGGCGCCUGCGGCUUAAUUUGACUCAACAUGGGAAACCUCAACCGGCCCGCAAAUGGAAAGGAUUGACUUGAUUCUGUAGGUGGUGGUGGAAGGCCAUUCUUAGGUGGUGGAGCAAUUUGUCUGCUUAAUUCUGAUAACGAACUAGACUCCUACAUGCUAACUAGUUACCUGAUCCCCGGCGAUCAGCGUUCAACUUCUUAGGUAGACAAGUGGUGUUCAGCCACACGAGAUCGAGCAAUAACCGGUCUGUGAUGCCCUUAUAUGUGCGUUCCUGCACACGCGCUAAACUAAACGGAUCAGCAUGUGUGUAACCUUUGCUGACAGGUGCUGUUAACCCGCUGAACCCCGUUCAUGAUAGCGAUUGGAGACUGCAAUUAUUUCCCAUGAACGUGGAAUUCCCAGUAAGUCCCUGCCAUUUGUACACACCGCCUGUCGAUGCUACCGAUUGGAUGGUUUACUGAUGUCCUCGAAUCGACCCCACCACGGUCGGCAAUGGACCUGGCAGAGUCCAUCCUUCUUCUCCAUCCCUUGAAGGGUGUGUGGGGAUGAGUGGCUGCUAUGUGUCUGUAUGGG